GGUGGAUGCGGGAGCGCGGCCCGGGGCGCGGAGCGCUCCAGAGCCCGAACGGGAGCGCGGGGCGCGCACAUCCUGCGCUCCGCCGGCAGCGCCGCGGCGGGGGCGGCGCAUCCGCGGGCCGGGCGCGGCUCGGCAGCAGCGCCUCCGUGCCCGGCGGCGGCGGAGCCGGCCCGGGACACUGCGCUAGGGCUGUGCUUCCCGUGCUGCUGCUCUUAAGGUUGGGCUCAGGAUGCUGUUGCUGGAAACUGCAGAGCUUUGUCUGUUGAAGUGAGAUACCUGGAGUCAGCUGGAGGAUACCUCCUUUCUGCACAAAAAAUAAGAAACCCCUCUGUCUGAAUGUCACUGCUGAAUAGGCUCACUGGAUUAUGGUUCGCCUUGAUAUCUUCUUCUUACAGAAUGAAAGGUUUGGAUGUUUUUGGCAGAAUCUUUGUAACCAGUGAUUUUGUAAAGGAUUUUGCCUUGUUUUAGAACUGGAGGAAUGUGUGGAUUUCUGAAUGUACUUGAACUGAGUGGCACCAGAAGAUGAGAAUUAACAAAUUUGAGGUUUAAAAGGACUAUAUGCAUGGAUGGUGGGUGGGUAAUCUUUGGCUUCAAUUUAAGCCAUGCAUUUAAUUUCUGCAUUUGUAGGCAGGGAACUUCUCAAAUCCUAUCUGACUCAUACAGUGCUGUAUAUAUACAUUAAUAUGCAAUGAGCUGCACAAUGUGUAGUUUUUGGAAACUGUUCAGCUGUAAGAACAAGGCCACAUCUGAGCUGAGACAGACCUCUCUUAAGACAGGCUUCUGUUUCAGCCUGUUUCAGCAAGUUGAAGAAGACUUGUGCAUAGUUGUUGAGCAUACCUUAUUGCUUGUAAAGAUGUUGCUUCUGGUAUACUUUUCUCAUUUGAAAGGAAUACUGCUUUUAGACUGUAAAUUUUGAGGGUGUAGUGAAUCUCAAAUAGAAUCACGGAAA